UCCCUGGUAGUAUAUCGGUUAGUACACGCGCCUGUCAUUAUGUAGAUAACCACCAAGCUGAUUCGCGCGAAAGCUGGGUUCGACUCCCAGCCAGGGAG
rnacentral:tRNA from 1 species